rfam:Candidatus Photodesmus blepharus strain Ppalp.1 contig2, whole genome shotgun sequence.
UUGAAAGCACCGGUCUUGAAAACCGGCAUAUGUGAAUAACGUAUCUAGGGUUCAAAUCCCUAUCUCUCCG